rnacentral:rRNA from 1 species
UACGUAGGGUGCGAGCGUUAAUCGGAAUUACUGGGCGUAAAGCGUGCGCAGGCGGUUUCGCAAGUCAGAUGUGAAAGCCCCGGGCUCAACCUGGGAAUUGCAUUUGAAACUACGAGGCUAGAGUGUGUCAGAGGGGGGUAGAAUUCCACGUGUAGCAGUGAAAUGCGUAGAGAUGUGGAGGAAUACCGAUGGCGAAGGCAGCACCCUGGGAUAACACUGACGCUCAUGCACGAAAGCGUGGGGAGCAAACAGG